GGCCUUCGGGUUGUAAAACUCUGUUCUGCGGGAUGAACGGCAGCCGGGUGAACAGUCCGGUUGAGUGACGGUACCGCAGAAGAAAGCCCCGGCUAACUACGUGCCAGCAGCCGCGGUAAUACGUAGGGGGCAAGCGUUGUCCGGAAUUAUUGGGCGUAAAGGGCGCGCAGGCGGCCUGUUAAGUCUGAUGUGAAAGACCGCGGCUCAACCGCGGGGUGGCAUCAGAAACUGGCAGGCUUGAGUGCAGGAGAGGAGAGUGGAAUUCCCGGUGUAGCGGUGGAAUGCGUAGAGAUCGGGAGGAACACCAGUGGCGAAGGCGGCUCUCUGGCCUGUUACUGACGCUGAGGCGCGAAAGCGUGGGGAGCGAACAGGAUUAGAUACCCUGGUAGUCCACGCCGUANACGAUGAGUGCUAGGUGUUGGGGGUAUCACGCCCUCUGUGCCGAAGGUAACCCAAUAAGCACUCCGCCUGGGGAGUACGGCCGCAAGGCUGAAACUCAAAGGAAUUGACGGGGGCCCGCACAAGCGGUGGAG
rnacentral:rRNA from 1 species